rnacentral:rRNA from 1 species
AUUGAACGCUGGCGGCAUGCCUUACACAUGCAAGUCGAACGGUAACGCGGGGCAACCUGGCGACGAGUGGCGAACGGGUGAGUAAUGCAUCGGAACGUGCCCAGUAAUGGGGGAUAGCCCGGCGAAAGCCGGAUUAAUACCGCAUACGACCUACGGGUGAAAGGGGGGGAUCGCAAGACCCCUCGCUAUUGGAGCGGCCGAUGUCAGAUUAGGUAGUGGGUGGGGUAAAGGCCUACCAAGCCGACGAUCUGUAGCUGGUCUGAGAGGACGACAAGCCACACUGGGACUGAGACACGGCCCAGACUCCUACGGGAGGCAGCAGUGGGGAAUUUUGGACAAUGGGCGCAAGCCUGAUCCAGCCAUGCCGCGUGCGGGAAGAAGGCCUUCGGGUUAUAAACCGCUUUUGUCAGGGAAGAAAUCUUCUGAGUUAAUACCUCGGGAGGAUGACGGUACCUGAAGAAUAAGCACCGGCUAACUACGUGCCAGCCGCCGCAGUAACAC